rnacentral:sRNA from 1 species
ACUGUGAUAGAAUUUUUAUGUAAUAGAUCCAGAAUUAUUUUGGAAACAAACUCUUCAGAUAACGACAAAAAAUACAUAAUGAUCUUGCUCAUUCAAAAUAAUAAACAAUAAUAAUAAUAAUUGUUUAAUAAAUAAUAGCGUUAGCACAGUCAAAGAUUGUUUGAGAUCACGUUGUAAAGUUAAGAAAAUAAUCAUAGAAAUGAAAAUAAGAGGAAAAGUAUAAAUGUAUGUUUGCUAAUGGUCAGAUAAUGCAGUUGUAUAUUAUACACGUACGGGUGCACAUCUUCAAAUGUAAGAAUCUUUUAUAUGAGAUGUACGCAAGUCGUUUAAAUAUCCUAGGUGCGGGGGAUUCGACAGGCAUUGUACGCUCUUCUCCUUUGUUUUCGUUCAUGUUAAUUUCUCCAGGUAAAGAUAGAUGAAUUGUAAGUGAAGAAAUCUUCCAACGAACAUCGAUUUCAACUAUACUUCAUUGACAGGUAUAGCGCUGUAUUUGUAUUUUUGUUCAAAUUCAUCAAAAAGUGAGAGAAACUUAGGACUGACUGUAGUAAUUGAUCUGGAGGGAUCGAUGGCAAUUGUCAUUGUCAAAUUAUUCAAGACCUUUGUAAACAGUAUAAAAAUACUAUUAUAUUUUGUGGUGGUUUUUUAUGAUUUUUUUAAAAUACAUUUUCUUGUUUAUUGAGGCUGUAUUUUUUUAAUUGUCUUUCUCGUAAACUUAUUUAUAUAAAUAGCAUAGACCAAUGUGUUAUAUUUGUAAUGCACAUGUAUUACGAGUUGUUGAUGGUACAUGUUUGACAGGAAACAUUUCUUUCAGAUUUUUCUAACGGAAAAACUUUAUGCAGUUAUCAUUCUUAACAGGCGAAUGUGGUACCUUAAAUAUGGAAUCGUUAACCAUACAUAGCUUAUUUCUUCCAAUAUUUCUGUAAUGAUCAUGUGAUAUUUCUCCCAAGUUUGAGUUUUUACAAUAAUAAAAGGAACUUCCUAUCCAAGAAAUCAUG